rnacentral:snRNA from 1 species
AGCUUUGCGCAGUGGCAGUAUCGUAGCCAAUGAGGUUUAUCCAAGGCGUGAUUAUUGCUAAUUGAAAAAAAAAGAAAAAAAAAA